UUUUCUUACAUGUAGAAAUAAUCAUGACUAUGUUUGAUUAAGGGAUUUCUGGUAGCCAUUGUACUGAAGGCAUGAAUUUUAUUACCUCAACUAAGGCGUACCAGAGGUCAAGUUUCAUCAAUUGGAUAUUGUGGACGGGGUCCAACCAAUAUCGUCCCAUGGAUUAACAAGUUGCAUUCCGAAGAAGACGGGAUGAGAUGGAAUCCACGAGAGACAGGGAACAAAGAGCUGCAGGUGGGACAAUCCGAGGUAAUGAAGCAUCGACAACAGAUAAACCCCGAAGCACCAAAUCCCCUUACUUGGCCUCGGCGCGAGAAAAGAGAUACCAAAGGAACCCGUGAAGACAAUACGUGUAAAGGUCGGAGGUGAUUGAAGAGACGGUCAUCGAGUACAAGAGCAAUAAAUGCACUGACGAAGUAGUUGAAGAGAUAAGAAGAAUCUGCUCAAAGUGAGACUCGGCUAAGUAUAUCAAGGGUGACAUCGGCAGCAUUCAUUAAGUAGACGACAUUGGGCAAAGGAACAUCAGGAGAAGGUACUCUAGGCUCGGCCCAGAAUCUCGGACCAAACUCUAUUCCUAACUCGAGAAGGACAUCAAGAAAUAUGCACCACAACUUACACUGUAACUUGAGUGUAUCAUCACUUACGGUUAUAAAUAGAGAGAUAUGUAGAGAGUUGAGGGGAAAGUAAUCAGUGAGGAAAGAGAGAACACCAAGAGCUUAAGAGGGAGACUUGAGAGUUUGUCAGA